rnacentral:tRNA from 1 species
CUCCCUGUGGCUCAGUUGGUAGAGCAUGGUGUUUGCAAUGGUGUUUGAAACGCCAGGGUUGUGGGUUCGAUUCCCACGGGGGGC